GGUAUUUUGACCGUGCAAAGGUAGCAUAAUCAUUAGUUUUUUAAUUGAAAGCUGGAAUGAAAGGUUGGAUGAAAAAUAAGCUGUCUCUAUUUAAUUUUAUUAGAAUUUUAUUUUUAAGUUAAAAAGCUUAAAUUUUAAUAGAAGACGAGAAGACCCUAUAGAGUUUUAUUUAUAUUUUGAAUAAGAUUAAUAGUAUUAAUUAUUUUUAUUUAAAAUAUAAAUUUAGUUGGGGUGAUUAAAAAAUUUAGUAAACUUUUUUUGUAUAUGAACAUUGAUAUAUGAUUAAUUGAUCCUUAAUUAAAGAUUAAAAGAUAAAAUUACCUUAGGGAUAACAGCGUAAUUUUUUUUGAGAGUUCUAAUCGAAAAGAAAGAUUGCGACCUCGAUGUUGGAUUAAAAUAAAAUUUUGGUGUAGAAGCUAGAA
rnacentral:rRNA from 1 species